rnacentral:misc_RNA from 1 species
UCACUUGGUAAAUACCCUCUAACCUAAACUAUUCAAGAAACACUCAGAGCAUGCAAAAAAAUGAUCAAAGAAUCUUCCUUGUCACAGUUUCUCGUCACAUAACGCAAAUACUUCCAACGUACAAAGAUAUUGCUCAGAGAGCAGAAAACGACGGUUUAAUUAAUUGCAACGUCUGAUCGACUUUGAGGAAGUAAAAGGGGCCACUUGAACGACCGUGAUCCUGUGUUCUGUCGAGAUGGAAGAGGACGACGUUGCAGAAUUUCACGAAACAGCGCAAAGAAAUAUUGUCAUUGGAAGGGAGAAUGGUGUAAUAAGGAUAGCAGAUAAGGAGAAGUAGUAGGAGUAAUAGAGAGGGAAAGAGGCUUUAUCGACCCAACCGAACAACCACCAGUGCAAAAGAUGGAGAUACACUGGUAGCGAUGGGUCUGACGAAAAUAUUUAUCGUCCUGUAGCAUGGUACAAGUAGUUAUCUACUUAGUUUUCAAGUAGUUAUUUACUUAGAGUAG